AGGAAUACUUUCAGAAAUGAUAUCAGACACUUUGCCUCUCUAACAGCUCUCGGUGUGCUCCUGCAAGCAGGACUAACAGAGAGAGGAGUAUUCUCUACUGAAUGUCAACUGCUGUCUGAAACAGUGUGAAGAAAGAAUAAGUCACCAGAAGUAAAAUCAAUCCUUUAAGUGUGUUUUCUGUAAGGAAACAGAAGAUUUUUAACACAAAGGCCAGAUAUGCGCAUCUACUAUGUCACCUUGGAUUCGUUAACUUGAGGUGCCCAGAACUGCACAUGGGACUCAAGGCCUUGGAGAGUGCUGUUGUGGAUGGCAAUGAGUGUGACUCAUCUGGCUAUAGAGCUGGAAGUGUAAUAUUAAAGAAAAUAAAUAACAAGACUGAAAAGAGCAUUAAAUGAGGAAAUGAGGCAAGGAUGCGUGAGACAGAGGUUAGUCUACUGCAUUUAUGUAACAGAAAAAAGACCUUCUGACCACCCUCGGCUUGAUCUCUCAGAAAAGAAAGUGUGAUUCAUCAGCAGUAUAUGUUACAGAAGUUGCAUUUCACAUAUUUUUUCAGUCUUCUUUCUGGGUUUAUUUUCUAAAAAUACUGUCAUGCUGUACUUUGAGAAACACCUUUCACGCUCUUUUUCAAUCCUUUACACGCUUCCCUCAAAAACAAGGAUUUUUUUUUCUUAUUUUUGUGUAUGAAAUAAAAUUGCUAAGUGAGAGCCUAAGUUUGUUCAACAAGACAAAACAGAGUUUUUUAGAAAGGAAGAGUCAGAUUUUGUUCCAACCAUGAGCAACUAUUCAGAGCACAGUAAACCCCCCAGAAAUAAAUGCCCCCCAGUUUUGAUGGGCAUGACUUUGAAUGGGACCAGAAGCAACAGCUAUGAAACCUAAAUAAAAUUAAAAAAAGAAAUAUGACAAAGCUGAAAUCUGUAAUUCAAACAAGAUUGUGGAAAUUUAUGAUAAUGGCUUUACAGCAAUUCAAACAAUGAAACAAUUCAAUUUCAGAAGGGCAAUAAUGAAUUUUUUAUUGGCAGAAGAGCCCCUAGCUCUUAUAUGUAGCUCACUAGGUCAGUCUUAGCAGCAAAUAGGACAAUGAUGCAUUGAUAAAAACCCAUCAUUAUCCUCACUGGGUAGAAAGAAAAUGGUGUUUUCACAGGUCUAGGCACAUUUUCACAGCAAGAAAUCACCUUACCUCAUUAAAAAUACAUUAGUGCUUUGUUUAUCUUCUCAGGAAGACGGGGUUUAAUGAGAUUCAUCUUAAAUUACUGUUUUGAGAGAAACAGCAUAUUAGAUAGUACACACAUAUUUCAGUAUAUAUACAGUAAAUAAGAAAAAAUCUUCAAACAAAGGGAAAAAAACACAUAAUACACUAAAAAUUAAGACAAAGAAAUCACUACCUUGUGGCUUUUAUUCCUCAUUGUGCAUGUAGAACUUAUUCUAAUAUGCCAGUCUUGGAGCUGGCAAUUUCUCCAGAUGUAUACACUUAAAUAAAUUUGACUUUUUUGCCCCAUAUCUUUUGGUUAGUCUUAUGCUCCACAGUGAAUUACACAACAACUUUCUCCCAGUUCUGUCUCUGAGCUCUCUGCCCUUCCUAUGCUCUGCUUGCACCACUGACGGGUUUUCUCUCUUCAAACACUCAUGUCAUGGUUGUGUUCAUUAGAGCUGGAAAUGAAGAGUGUAAGUUCUCAAGGGACAUUGCAGGAAACAGUCUUCCCAAGGAACUGGACUUUUUGCUGCCUACUCACCCAUGGAGAACUCCGCUGACUCCCAUUACAACCCCAGCUGCCAAGUCUUCACCAGAGGAGACCAAACUGGGAUUCAACUCAUGAAACUCCUAUAAUUUUAUUAUAUUUCAGCUCAAGAACAACUCUCUAUUUGAUCUCAAGUGAACUUUUUUGGCAGAGGAAAUUGAAUUUAAUCUAUUAGUUCUAGGAAAGUACUGGACUAAUCUGUGACUAGUUUAUGAUUGAUCAACAAACCUGAUAACAUGGGAGAAGACUCAGGGGAUAUGGAGGAAGGUGAGAUGGUCAUGGAGCUCAAGGAAAAAUGGAAGGAGUGAGUGACCCUAACAGGAAAUUGUACUUAGCUCAACACUAAGGGAACCAGAGGGUGGCCUUAUUUCAAUUGAAUGGAACUGGUUGUGUGAAUGUUUCUGUCUGAGCUUAUCAAGAGUGUGAGUUAGCACACUCACAUGGGAAAGUAUAUACAUGUCUCAAACCACUUGUAUUGUGGUUCAUCUGUCUGGUGCAAUUUCUGUGUUCUAUGAAGAAUAAUUUGCUCAUGUAUUAUGAUUUUGGUAUGUUGUGGUAUCACUCUGCUAAAUCAAAAUCCUGUAUAAUGUCAAGCACCUAGAAACAAGAAAAUCCUUAAUAUUCAAGCCUCCAUGUGUGAAAUGACUUGAAGAACCUGGUUAGAGAAUCCUGGAGACUGACAAGAGUUAGAAUAGCUAUUUACCUCUUUUAUAGUAAGACUUAGACUAUUACCUGAAAAACGGGGGGGAGGGGAGUUUGCUUCGGUAUGAUUAAUUCCACAGAGAACUCUAUUGUUCUCCUUUUUGGUUAAAGGCUACCAUACUGAUCUCUGUUUAGCUGGAAUUAGCCUUCAAGUUGUGUGUAGAAGACAGGCAGACCAUGCUAAGUGCUACAUGAAUCACAGUUCUUCAUUUGAUUGCAACAUUUUUAGGCAUACUAUUAAAAAAUGUCAGAUUUGGAAACCUUUCAUUUGACAUUUAUCUGAAAAACCAUAAUGUAACUGUAUUUAAAUGUCAAAUGAGAAUAAAGCUGUAUUCUUAUCUGUAUAAAUAUCAAAUGAAUGGUUGUUUCCUCUGAUAUUUGGGGUUCUGAAAGGGUAGAGGUCAACUGAGGUGCAUCCCCUGACAAAAGUUGAUAUUACAGAAUUCUAAAGCAAUACCUCACACCUGUACCUUGAGAUUUGUUUCCCUGACUGCUUAAGAUAGUGACGUAGGAACAGAAUCCUUCUGAGGCAGCUGUACCCAGAGCCGACAUAGCACUGGAAUAUGAAAUACUCUUAUUUCCUUCCCCAAAUUCUGCUUGCACAUGACAUGAU